AUUGCUUCUCAGCCUUUUGGCUAAGGUCAAGUGUACUAUCUGUUCUUAUCAAUUUAAUAUCUGAUAUGUCCUCUAUCUGAGGACAAUAUAUUAAAUGGAUUUUUGAAACAGGGAGAUGGAAUAGGAGCUUGCUUUGUCCACUCCAUGCAUCGACCUGGUAUUGCAGUACCUCCAGGAGCAGUGCACCAAAA
rnacentral:snRNA from 1 species